rnacentral:rRNA from 1 species
GGGCCCGCACAAGCGGUGGAGUAUGUGGUUUAAUUCGAUGCAACGCGAAGAACCUUACCAGGGUUUGACAUCCUGCGAAUCUCUUGGAAACGAGAGAGUGCCUUCGGGAACGCAGUGACAGGUGGUGCAUGGCUGUCGUCAGCUCGUGUCGUGAGAUGUUGGGUUAAGUCCCGCAACGAGCGCAACCCACGUCGUUAGUUGCCAGCAUUUAGUUGGGCACUCUAGCGAGACCGCCGGUGAUAAACCGGAGGAAGGUGUGGAUGACGUCAAGUCAUCAUGCCCCUUACAUCCUGGGCUACACACGUACUACAAUGCUACGGACAAAGGGCAGCAAACUCGCGAGAGCUAGCAAAUCCCAUAAACCGUGGCUCAGUUCAGAUCGUAGGCUGCAACUCGCCUACGUGAAGGAGGAAUC